rnacentral:lncRNA from 1 species
AUUACAAUAAUGAUAGUGUUUAGUGUUGACUCCGGUGUCUGUAAUAUUCGGUUCUACGUUAAUUUUGAGUUCAAAAACAAACAUUUAAGUGUCUUGACUUUCAACUUCUAGUAAAUUUUCCAGUGGCUUUUUUACUGUAUAAUUUCUUUUUUAGCUGCUGCAGUAUCUGUUCAUGAUAAUUAUGGCAACACUAAAGUAAGAUAUAAUUUUUUUAGUUCUUAUCUGAAUUAUUAUGUAUUUUCAAGUCAAUAAAAUGCAAUCUGCAAAGUCUGUGAGAAGGAAACUUCAAGCAUAUCGAUGAGAAACAGACAUCUUAAGAAGUUUCACCCAAAAUGUGUUGGCCAGGAAUACAAGAAACACAUUACAUGUCCAAUAUGAUUCAAUAGCUCAUGUAAAAAGAGAAAUGACACAGUAGAAAGGCUAAACUUACUAACAAGCGGUAACCUGGCAUAUUUGAUAAGGAGAUAUAAUGUUGACUAAAGAGACGGUUAUGAUAUGGUAGCCCCUGCUUUGAAAAUUAAUGGGAAAGGAAAAAAUGACCAAGAGAAAAAUUAUGCAUUUGUUUUCAAGAGAAUUGGGGAUUCUUAUCCGGGACUGAAUGAUAACAAAAAUUUGCUACAUGAAUUGAAUUAUGGAGAAGAGAUUAAAAGAAUUUAAAAGGAUUAUUUGUAUAGAUGGAACAAAUAUGAAUUGUUAUGGUAUGGCUAUAUUUUACCUCUGUAGGUAU